rnacentral:rRNA from 1 species
UACGAAGGGGGCUAGCGUUGCUCGGAAUCAUUGGGCGUAAAGAGCGCGCAGGCGGCUUGGCAAGUCGGGUGUGAAAUCCCGGGGCUCAACCCCGUGACUGCAUCCGAUACUGUCAGGCUAGAGGUAGGUAGGGGAGAUCGGAAUUCCUGGUGUAGCGGUGAAAUGCGCAGAUAUCAGGAGGAACACCAGCGGCGAAGGCGGCGCUCUGGGCCGGUACUGACACUGAGGAGCGAAAGCGUGGGUAGCAAACAGG